rnacentral:rRNA from 1 species
GAUGAACGCUGGCGGCGUGCCUAAUACAUGCAAGUCGAGCGAACAGACGAGGAGAUUGCUCCUCUGACGUUAGCGGCGGACGGGUGAGUAACACGUGGAUAACAUACCUAUAUGACUGGGAUAACUUCGGGAAAAAGGAGAUAAUACCGGAUAAUAUAUUGAACCGCAUGGUUCAAUAGUGAAAGACGGUUUUGCUGUCACUUAUAGAUGGAUCCGCGCCGCAUUAGCUAGUUGGUAAGGUAACGGCCUACCAAGGCAACGAUGCGUAGCCGACCUGAGAGGGUGAUCGGCCACACUGGAACUGAGACACGGUCCAGACUCCUACGGGAGGCAGCAGUAGGGAAUCUUCCGCAAUGGGCGAAAGCCUGACGGAGCAACGCCGCGUGAGUGAUGAGGGUCUUCGGAUCGUAAAACUCUGUUAUUAGGGAAGAACAAAUGUGUAAGUAACUAUGCACGUCUUGACGGUACCUAAUCAGAAAGCCACGGCUAACUACGUG